rnacentral:tRNA from 1 species
CCCUGAUUGCUCAAACAGUAAAGAAUCUGCCUGCAAUGUAGGAGACCCAGGUUCGAUCCCUGGGUCAGGAA